rnacentral:rRNA from 1 species
CCUACGGGCAGCUGCAGUGGGGAAUUUUGCGCAAUGCUCGUAAGAGUGACGCAGCGACGCCGCGUGAAUGACGAAGGCCUUCGGGUCGUAAAGUUCUUUCGACAGGGAAGAAAAUGCCUAUAAGUAACUGUGUAUGUAUUGACGGUACCUGUAUAAGCAGCCCCGGCUAACUCCGUGCCAGCAGCCGCGGUAAUACGGAGGGGGCGAGCGUUGUUCGGAGGGACUGGGCGUAAAGAGCACGUAGGCGGUGUUGUAAGUCAUUAGUCAAAGACUAGAGCUCAACUUUAGUAAGGCUAGUGAUACUAUAAUACUAGAGUAUCAGAGAGGAUUGCAGAAUUCCUGGUGUAGCGGUGAAAUGCGUAGAUAUCAGGAGGAAUACCGUUAGCGAAGGCGGCAAUCUGGCUGGAAACUGACGCUGAGGUGCGAAAGCGUGGGUAGCAAACAGGAUUAGAUACCCCGGUAGUC